UCGAGCGAGCUUGCCUAGAUGAUUUUAGUGCUUGCACUAAAUGAAACUAGAUACAAGCUAGCGGCGGACGGGUGAGUAACACGUGGGUAACCUGCCCAAGAGACUGGGAUAACACCUGGAAACAGAUGCUAAUACCGGAUAACAACACUAGACGCAUGUCUAGAGUUUAAAAGAUGGUUCUGCUAUCACUCUUGGAUGGACCUGCGGUGCAUUAGCUAGUUGGUAAGGUAACGGCUUACCAAGGCAAUGAUGCAUAGCCGAGUUGAGAGACUGAUCGGCCACAUUGGGACUGAGACACGGCCCAAACUCCUACGGGAGGCAGCAGUAGGGAAUCUUCCACAAUGGACGCAAGUCUGAUGGAGCAACGCCGCGUGAGUGAAGAAGGGUUUCGGCUCGUAAAGCUCUGUUGGUAGUGAAGAAAGAUAGAGGUAGUAACUGGCCUUUAUUUGACGGUAAUUACCUAGAAAGUCACGGCUAACUACGUG
rnacentral:rRNA from 1 species